UACGUAGGGGGCAAGCGUUGUCCGGAUUUAUUGGGCGUAAAGAGCGCGUAGGCGGCCAGGCAGGUCUGCUGUGAAAACUCGAGGCUCAACCUCGAGACGUCGGCGGAAACCAUCUGGCUAGAGUCCGGAAGAGGAGAGUGGAAUUCCUGGUGUAGCGGUGAAAUGCGCAGAUAUCAGGAAGAACACCCGUGGCGAAGGCGGCUCUCUGGGACGGUACUGACGCUGAGACGCGAAAGCGUGGGGAGCGAACAGG
rnacentral:rRNA from 1 species